GGAGAGGUACCCAAGUGGCCAAAGGGGGCAGACUGUAAAUCUGCUGGCGGUGCCUUCGCUGGUUCGAAUCCAGCCCUCUCCACCA
rnacentral:tRNA from 1 species